GGUUUCUUUCUGGUAAGAGGCAGGAGGUCAUUGCUGAAUUAAAUACUUAACAAAGCUACCUGGCCUUGCAACCACAAUACUGAUUGAAGUCCUGAAGCAAGAUAUGUGCAUGAGCUCGCUGUCAGUGCUCCUCACUUCUGCACUGGGAUAACUUGAAAAGCCAAGGAGAGGUAGAAAUAAAAGUAGAACUUAACAGUGCCGUGCUGAUUCGAGACUAGAAAGUGUGAGGAGGAAGUAAUAAACUUAUCUUUUCCUUUUGUCACUCAGCAAAUUCACAGAGUUGUCCCUGGAGAGAGCAAUGUUCAUGUGGCAUUACAGCAAAUGAUUCCGCUGCCUCAACCACAAACUAAAAAACCUCUGAUGCUCUCCAACCCCUUCCUCUGUUUCAUUUCCUCUCCAGGCAGGACUUCAGUUCAAGUCUGACAUCCUUUGGGGACUUUGCAAUGAAUAAGACUAUUGCAGUUGUUCUAGAGCUUUCUUAAGCUUUCCUUGGAGAAACUACCCAAGUAUCCAGCAAUAUGUGUGAACCAAGACCAAAAAGCUGUGUGUAUCUGCCAAAAGAUGGGGCUGAGAGAAAACCUGGAACGUAGAGUUAAAAUUCAUUCUGUUUCUCACACAGGAGCUGCUACAUCUAGAGUGAUGCUAUUAAAAAGAGCUGGCUUGGGGCAACCAAGUGCUGGAGGAGGUUCCGAAGCAGUGCUUCAGGAUGUAACAGCCCUGCUGUUAUGGGUAAUGGGAGUGGGUGCUGCGAGGACAGGUUUGUUCUCUUCUUGUGCAAUGGUUCUUUAGGAGGCUGCAAUAAUUCCAUCUUUAGUUUCUUUAUUAGUAGACAAAAUACGUGGUUCACAGAUUCAAUGUUAAUAAUGCGGAGCAACUCUGACCUUUCAGAUUCUAGUGCUGGAAAUCCAAGGAACCUUUCCAACUGUGUACUAUUACAGAUUGGUUGAUCUGCUGUAGUUCUGUAUUAUUCUGGAUGUAAAAAAAGGCACAAUGACACAGCAGUACAGCAUAGUAUAAAGCCUCAUGGUGGUUUAACCCGACUCCUAAUUCAAGCUGCUGCUGUGACACAGAAACAAGACCUAAAGUAGGCAUGUGAGGAUACUCAAGUUUGUUUUUCUCCUUUUGGGUCCCUUUAGGCAUGGUGGUUUUAGCCAUAGAAAUUCUGAGUGCUGGGAGAAUUCCACCAGAGCUCUAAAGCUUAGGGUUCUUGCUAGUCUGGGGCAUGGUGUUGGAGGAAGUGCUAUGCUCUCCCUUACCUAUAUUGUUUUUAUAGCAGAGCUCCUUGGAAUUUGCUACCUUGAAAAAUAAGCUGGGGAACUCAGUCAUCCCCAGCUCCUUUCACUGGGAAUCCCUCCAGUGGCAAGAAAUGAGAUGAAGUCUUAAGAAAAGCAGUGUGAGAAGUAUCUUUCUGAGCUGCUGAACACUGACGUGGGCUGCGUGAGGCAGAACCUUACAGGGUUAAAAGUCUGAUCCGAUGCCUGCUGUACACACAGUCAUCAAGUGAGUGCAGCGAACGCCUCUCAGAACACAAAGCAAUAUCAG